GACGAACGCUGGCGGCGUGCUUAACACAUGCAAGUCGAACGGUAAGGCCCUUCGGGGUACACGAGUGGCGAGCGGGUGAGUAACACGUGGGUGAUCUGCCCUGCACUUCGGGAUAAGCCUGGGAAACUGGGUCUAAUACCGGAUAGGACUCCUGCCUGCAUGGGUGGGGGUGGAAAGCUUUUGCGGUGUGGGAUGGGCCCGCGGCCUAUCAGCUUGUUGGUGGGGUGAUGGCCUACCAAGGCGACGACGGGUAGCCGGCCUGAGAGGGUGACCGGCCACACUGGGACUGUGAUACGGCCCAGACUCCUACGGGAGGCAGCAGUGGGGAAUAUUGCACGAUGGACGCAAGCCUGAUGCAGCGACGCCGCGUGAGGGAUGACGGCCUUCGGGUUGUAAACCUCUUUCAGCACAGACGAAGCGCAAGUGACGGUAUGUGUAGAAGAAGGACCGGCCAACUACGUGCCAGCCGCCGCCGUAAUAC
rnacentral:rRNA from 1 species